UACGUAGGGUGCGAGCGUUAAUCGGAAUUACUGGGCGUAAAGCGUGCGCAGGCGGCUUCGCAAGUCAGACGUGAAAUCCCCAGGCUCAACCUGGGAACUGCGUCUGAUACUGGAUGGCUUGAAUCCGGGAGAGGGAUGCAGAAUUCCAGGUGUAGCGGUGAAAUGCGUAGAUAUCUGGAGGAAUACCGGUGGCGAAGGCGGCAUCCUGGACCGGCAUUGACGCUGAGGAGCGAAAGCUAGGGGAGCAAACGGG
rnacentral:rRNA from 1 species